AUUGAUUCUCGGCCUUUUAGCUAUGAUCAAGUGUAGUAUUUGUUCUUGUCAGCUUAAUAUCUGGCAUGCUGGGCAUUGCCUGGCACCAGCAUUCAACUGAUUUUUGCUUCUCGAGUUAACAGCGAAGCUUGCUUCAGUUGGGUCACGGAUUGUCCCGGUCUCACACUACCAUCAAGAUAUGUCUGCUUCAG